UUAGGUUAAGUUAUGAAGGGCGCACGGUGGAUGCCUUGGCACUAGGAGCCGAUGAAGGACGGGACUAACACCGAUAUGCUUUGGGGAGCUGUAAGUAAGCUUUGAUCCAGAGAUUUCCGAAUGGGGAAACCCACUGUUCGUAAUGGAACAGUAUCUUUAUCUGAAUACAUAGGAUAUUGAAGGCAGACCCGGGGAACUGAAACAUCUAAGUACCCGGAGGAAGAGAAAGCAAACGCGAUUUCCCAAGUAGCGGCGAGCGAAACGGAAUUAGCCCAAACCAAGAGGCUUGCCUCUUGGGGUUGUAGGACACUCUAUACGGAGUUACAAAGGAACGGGGUAGAUGAAGCGACCUGGAAAGGUCCGUCAGAGAAGGUAAAAACCCUGUAGUCGAAACUUCGUUCCCUCCAGAGUGGAUCCUGAGUACGGCGGGACACGAGAAAUCCCGUCGGAAGCAGGGAGGACCAUCUCCCAAGGCUAAAUACUCCCUAGUGACCGAUAGUGAACCAGUACCGUGAGGGAAAGGUGAAAAGCACCCCGGAAGGGGAGUGAAAAGAUCCUGAAACCGUGUGCUUACAAGUAGUCAGAGCCCGUUAAUGGGUGAUGGCGUGCCUUUUGUAGAAUGAACCGGCGAGUUACGAUCCCGUGCAAGGUUAAGUUGAUGAGACGGAGCCGCAGCGAAAGCGAGUCUGAAUAGGGCGUUUUAGUACGUGGUCGUAGACCCGAAACCAGGUGAUCUACCCAUGUCCAGGGUGAAGUUCAGGUAACACUGAAUGGAGGCCCGAACCCACGCACGUUGAAAAGUGCGGGGAUGAGGUGUGGGUAGCGGAGAAAUUCCAAUCGAACCUGGAGAUAGCUGGUUCUCUCCGAAAUAGCUUUAGGGCUAGCCUCAAGUAUGAGAGUCUUGGAGGUAGAGCACUGAUUGGACUAGGGGCCCUCAUCGGGUUACCGAAUUCAGUCAAACUCCGAAUGCCAAAGACUUGCUCCUUGGGAGUCAGACUGCGAGUGAUAAGAUCCGUAGUCAAGAGGGAAACAGCCCAGACCACCAGCUAAGGUCCCAAAGUAUACGUUAAGUGGAAAAGGAUGUGGAGUUGCUUAGACAACCAGGAUGUUGGCUUAGAAGCAGCCACCAUUUAAAGAGUGCGUAAUAGCUCACUGGUCGAGUGACUCUGCGCCGAAAAUGUACCGGGGCUAAACGUAUCACCGAAGCUGUGGACUGUUCUUACGAACAGUGGUAGGAGAGCGUUCUAAGGGCGUUGAAGCUAGACCGUAAGGACUGGUGGAGCGCUUAGAAGUGAGAAUGCCGGUAUGAGUAGCGAAAGAGGGGUGAGAAUCCCCUCCACCGAAUGCCUAAGGUUUCCUGAGGAAGGCUCGUCCGCUCAGGGUUAGUCGGGACCUAAGCCGAGGCCGAAAGGCGUAGGCGAUGGACAACAGGUUGAUAUUCCUGUACCACCUCCUCACCAUUUGAGCAAUGGGGGGACGCAGGAGGAUAGGGCAAGCGCGCUGUUGGAUAUGCGCGUCCAAGCAGUUAGGCUGAGAAGCAGGCAAAUCCGCUUCUC
rnacentral:rRNA from 1 species